UGCCAGCAGCCGCGGUAAUACGGAAGGCCCGAGCGUUAAUCGGAAUCACUGGGCUUAAAGCGUGCGCAGGCGGAUAUGUAGGUGUCUUGUGAAAGCCCUCGGCUCAACCGGGGAACUGCAGGGCAAACCCCAUAUCUUGAGGCAGGUAGGGGUCGAUGGAACUGUCGGUGGAGCGGUGAAAUGCGUAGAUAUCGACAGGAACGCCAGUGGCGAAGGCGAUCGACUGGGCCUGUCCUGACGCUCAGGCACGAAAGCGUGGGGAGCAAACAGGAUUAGAUA
rnacentral:rRNA from 1 species